AAGUCUUGAGAUAUUUGGGGUUAAACAUCUUUGGGUUUGAAUAGUACUGGGCUGGGUGACCUCCUGAGAAGUCCAAAUUCAAGAUUUU
rnacentral:rRNA from 1 species